GGCUGAAAUUCGCCUUCAUGAAGCCGGAAUUGCUAGUAAUGGCAGGUCAGCAUACUGCCGUGAAUACGUUCCCGGGCCUUGUACACACCGCCCGUCACACCAUGAGAGUUGGGAAUACCCGAAGCCUGUGAGCUAACGUCAAGAGGCAGCAGUCGAAGGUAGAAUCAAUGAUUGGGGUGAAGUCGUAACAAGGUAUC
rnacentral:rRNA from 1 species